rnacentral:lncRNA from 1 species
CACAUCCAGAGAAGUCCCAGGGACGGGGCUAGCGAGGUAACUCGACGUGGCCGGGACAGCUCGCUCCCGGCGGACCCGGGCGGCGCCCCGAGCCCGAGCCCCGUCUCGUCCGCCCGGAAGCAACGGCGCGGGCACGUGGGCCAGGCCGGGCGCCGACCCCGGGCACUCGGCCGCUCAGUCGGCGCCGCCCCCGCGCCAGCUGUCAGGGCCGGGGUCCGCGCGGGGGCGGGUCCGGGGCGGCGCCGGGCGGGGACCCCGAGGCCACAGAGCCGCGCCCCCGCCCGCCUGGCCCCGGCCCUGGCCCCGGCCCCGGCGCGGCGCAGACAAUGGCGCGGCCCGGCCCGGCCCCGGCGCGGUCCGCGGGGGACGGGGCUCGCGGCGGGCGGCGGGGCAGCGGCGCCCGCGCACUCACCUCGGCCCGGCCUCUGGGGCGGCUCCCGGCCGGCUGCGGACGACGGCGGCGCGGGCGGACGCUCCAUUCAUUACCGCGGCUUUGUCUGCCCCCGCGCCCCUCCCGCGGCCCCGCCGCCCGCCGCCAGCGACGCCGCCGGACGCUGCGCCCCUCCCAGGGCCUCGCGCGGCGCGGGGCGGGGCCGGCCGGGGGCGGGGCCGAUCGGGGGCGGGGCCUACGCGGGCAGGCGCAGUGUCCGCGUACCCGCCCCGCCUCGUCCCUGGCCGGGCGGGAGGACGGAGCGCCGGAGGCACGGCCGCUGGGGCGGGGCCGGGCGGAAGACGCAGGCGCAGUGCGCGCUUCGGCUCCGCCCCCGGAUCCGGGAGGGCAAACUACGCAGGCGCAUUGGGAGCUCAGGCGCGGGCGGGCUACGGGAAGGGACUAGGCGCUCUGGCUGGGCGGGGCGCGGGCGCCGUGGUUUCGUCCCGUGGCUUGGCAGUUGGCAGCGGCUCGGCGCGCACCCAACGGCCCACCGCGGGUUUCCGGGACGGCUAGCAGCGCGGGUCCUGGUCCCGCCCCGACCCCCCCUUACCUGGCGCAGAGGCCGCUCAGUGCGGUGCGGUCAGGCCCGGUGGGCUGGGACCUAA